AGAGUUUGAUCAUGGCUCAGAACGAACGCUGGCGGCGCGCCUAAUACAUGCAAGUCGAGCGAGAAGGUGUAGCAAUACACUUGUAAAGCGGCGAACGGGUGAGGAAUGCAUGGGUAACUUACCCUCGAGUGGGGAAUAACUAGCCGAAAGGUUAGCUAAUACCGCAUACGUUUCCGGGACUUCGGUUCCGGAAAGAAAGCAAUACCGUGGGUAUUGCGCUCAUGGAUGGGCUCAUGUCCUAUCAGCUUGUUGGUGAGGUAACGGCUCACCAAGGCUUCGACGGGUAGCUGGUCUGAGAGGACGAUCAGCCACACUGGCACUGCGACACGGGCCAGACUCCUACGGGAGGCAGCAGUAAGGAAUAUUGCGCAAUGGACGAAAGUCUGACGCAGCGACGCCGCGUGGGGGAUGAAGGUCUUCGGAUUGUAAACCCCUUUCGGGAGGGAAGAUGGAGUGGGUAACCACUUGGACGGUACCUCCAGAAGCAGCCACGGCUAACUUCGUGCCAGCAGCCGCGGUAAUACGAAGGUGGCAAGCGUUGUUCGGAUUCACUGGGCGUACAGGGAGCGUAGGCGGUUGGGUAAGCCCUCCGUGAAAUCUCCGGGCCUAACCCGGAAAGUGCAGAGGGGACUGCUCAGCUAGAGGAUGGGAGAGGAGCGCGGAAUUCCCGGUGUAGCGGUGAAAUGCGUAGAGAUCGGGAGGAAGGCCGGUGGCGAAGGCGGCGCUCUGGAACAUUUCUGACGCUGAGGCUCGAAAGCGUGGGGAGCAAACAGGAUUAGAUACCCUGGUAGUCCAA
rnacentral:rRNA from 1 species